rnacentral:rRNA from 1 species
AGCAGCCGCGGUAAUUCCAGCUCCAAUAGCGUAUAUUAAAGUUGUUGCAGUUAAAAAGCUCGUAGUUGAAUUUCGGGGUUAAUAAGUUGGUCGUACCUAUGGUAUGUACUGGCUUUAUUGAUUCCUACCUCUUGACGAACUGUGAUGCCAUUAAUUUGGUGUUGCAAGGAAUCAGGACUGUUACCUUGAAAAAAUUAGAGUGUUUAAAGCAGGCUUACGCUUGAAUACAUUAGCAUGGAAUAAUGAAAUAGGACGUUUGAACCUAUUUUGUUGGUUUCUAGGAUCGACGUAAUGAUUAAUAGGGAUAGUUGGGGGCAUUAGUAUUCAAUUGUCAGAGGUGAAAUUCUUGGAUUUAUUGAAGACUAACCACUGCGAAAGCAUUUGCCAAGGAUGUUUUCAUUAAUCAAGAACGAAAGUUAGGGGAUCGAAGACGAUCAGAUACCGUCGUAGUCUUAACCAUAAACUAUGCCGACUAGGGAUCGGAUGAUGUUAAUUUUUAAUGUACUCAUUCGGCGCCUUA